rnacentral:rRNA from 1 species
CCCUUAGAUGUUCUGGGCCGCACGCGCGCUACACUGAUGCAUUCAACGAGUCUAAAACCUGGUCUGAUAGGGCUGGGUAAUCUUUUGAAAGUGCAUCGUGAUUGGGAUAGAUGAUUGCAAUUCUUCAUCUUCGACGAGGAAUGCCUAGUAAACGCAAGUCAUCAGCUUGCAUUGAUUACGUCCCUGCCCUUUGUACACACCGCCCGUCGCUCCUACCGAUUGAAUGAUCCGAUGAAUACCAUGGAUUGAGAGUUCGAAUAGGUUCGCCUAUUUCAGCUCCUCGAGAAGUGGAGUAAAUCUUAUCAUUUAGAGGAAGGAGAAGUCGUAACA